UUCAGAUUACAACUUCAAAAAGAUUAAUAAAAUUCGUGAAACGCAAUUAAUCUGCCGUUGAUAAGACUUUUUUUUUAAAUAAAAAAAAAGAAUAAAAAAAAUGCAAUCACCCACUUCCCACACUAUUACUCUGUAUACUCCACGAUUUCACUACUGCAGUUCCCUAAAAUUUUUACUUUUUCCACUCUCACUGAAUUCCCUGUUCUCUUAGCACCAAAUCGAGUUUCGAUCAUUUAAGGGUUUCGAAGGUUUUUCUUAAUAAACUCCUCGCCACUUCCAUUAUGCUGGCAUACUUACCGAUGAUGGAGUGAGAAUUCUCAGCCAAUCGACAAAAUCAAAGCCGAAAGUGUCACUUGACUUGUGAGAUUUUGCAGUUGCGAGCAAGAAGAAGGGUGAUGAAUUGAAGAUUGAGAGCAGCAGCAGGAAGAUUGACGGGUACAAGACUCGAGAAGAGUUUGAUUUGAUCCGUAAUCAAAGCCGGCAUGACUCAAACCAAAGCGGCAAAGCUUCAAACCAGUCAACUUUAUUCAGUUCUAUUUAUCACAAAAUUUUAAAUUUUAGAUUUCGUUUUAAGAAAGAGUAACUUCCAUUCUCAUAGUUUUAUGCGUGCAUCUAUCAAUUAUAAAGAAAAUUUUCAGUUUGUAUUGGUCAUAUAUUACAUCUAUUGCACGAUUAUAUAUCUAGCAAAAAUAUUGAUGGUACUUUAUAAAAAAAAAAUCAAACAACUACUCAAUUAUAUAUUCUUCUUCAAUGUUCGAUAAUUAUUUUACUAAUGUUUUGAGUUUUCCCCUUAUCAUAUUUUAAUCAAAACCGUUUAA